rnacentral:rRNA from 1 species
AGAGUUUGAUCAUGGCUCAGGAUGAACGCUAGCGGCAGGCCUAACACAUGCAAGUCGAGGGGUAGCAGGGUAGCAAUAUCGCUGACGACCGGCGCACGGGUGAGUAACGCGUAUGCAACCUUCCUUUAACUGGGGGAUAGCCCGGAGAAAUUCGGAUUAAUACCCCAUAACAUUGCGGAGAGGCAUCUUUCUGCAAUUAAAGCUCCGGCGGUUAAAGAUGGGCAUGCGUGCCAUUAGCUAGUUGGUGAGGUAACGGCUCACCAAGGCUACGAUGGCUAGGGGGUCCGAGAGGAUGAUCCCCCACACUGGUACUGAGACACGGACCAGACUCCUACGGGAGGCAGCAGUGAGGAAUAUUGGGCAAUGGGCGCAAGCCUGACCCAGCCAUGCCGCGUGAAGGAUGAAUGCCCUAUGGGUUGUAAACUUCUUUUGUACGGGACGAAACUUCCGGUCGUGACCGGGAUUGACUGUACCGUGCGAAUAAGCAUCGGCUAACUCCGUGCCAGCAGCCGCGGUAAUACGGAGGAUGCAAGCGUUAUCCGGAUUCAUCGGGUUUAAAGGGUGCGUAGGCGGAAUAAUAAGUCAGUGGUGAAAGCCUGCGGCUUAACCGUAGAAUUGCCAUUGAUACUGUUAUUCUUGAGUAUAGUUGAAGUGGGCGGAAUGUGUAAUGUAGCGGUGAAAUGCUUAGAUAUUACACAGAACACCAAUUGCGAAGGCAGCUCACUAAGCUGUUACUGACGCUGAGGCACGAAAGCGUGGGGAGCAAACAG